rnacentral:rRNA from 1 species
GGAACCUUCCACAAUGGGCGCAAGCCUGAUGGAGCAACACCGCGUGAGUGAAGAAGGGUUUCGGCUCGUAAAGCUCUGUUGUUAAAGAAGAACACGUAUGAGAGUAACUGUUCAUACGUUGACGGUAUUUAACCAGAAAGUCACGGCUAAAUACGUGCCAG